rnacentral:sRNA from 1 species
AAUCCAUAAAUUUUUCAUUAGCUCUAAUACUCAUCGAUCGUUAGAAAUAUGUGUUCUAAUUCUUCGCGUAGUUCGAGUGAUGAUGGUUCGCACAUAACUCGCACACAAGUGUUGCGAAGAUAAUCCUAAUAUUUAUAUAGUUUUAUUAACACUCGAGUUGAUUGACAAUAAUCAUGUAUCAAUAUAGUCGUAAGCAUGUAUUGUAGAUGUCAAAUUUGGCAUGGUUUGAUUGCUCAAGAAUCGGUAGUGAAACUUCUAUAGCGUUUUCAACUAUUAUAUACUUCCUUCUUAUUUUCGCAUAGUGAGAACCUGUCAAAUUCAAUUUACUUUGCAUCGCAGAUGGCAUGCCUUCUACAUCGUUCCAGUCAGUGAUAUGAUCAUUCAUUUGCUCAAUCAAUCUCUCAUCUACCGCCUCAAUUGUUUCAGCAUCAGAGGGAUCAAAUCCUUCGGCUUGUGCUAAAAGAAACAAAAGACGAAGAAAAACAGAAGAUGUUUGAUAUUAAAGAACACAUAACAUGUUAACUACAUCAUAUUACAUCGUGGCUAGAGUCAUGAGUUGGUAUGGUUGAAUUUGCAUGAGAUCAUUUGUCUUUGGCAGAAUUAGUCUUCAGAUUUUCAUUCUCCUAGACUUUCCGGUUUUGUUGCAUACUGUGAUCUAUCAGUUCGACGGAUAAGCACAUCAAAAAAUCUAUUAAAAAAAUUGUCAAAAGAAAUUAACAUAAAAAAUUUAUAUAAGGAUUUAAAUCCAAAUCAAUUGUUUAAUU